UUAAGUCCCGCAACGAGCGCAACCCUUGAUCUUAGUUGCCAUCAUUAAGUUGGGCACUCUAAGGUGACUGCCGGUGACAAACCGGAGGAAGGUGGGGAUGACGUCAAAUCAUCAUGCCCCUUAUGACCUGGGCUACACACGUGCUACAAUGGACGGUACAAAGAGCUGCAAGACCGCGAGGUGGAGCUAAUCUCAUAAAACCGUUCUCAGUUCGGAUUGUAGGCUGCAACUCGCCUACAUGAAGCUGGAAUCGCUAGUAAUCGCGGAUCAGCAUGCCGCG
rnacentral:rRNA from 1 species